rnacentral:rRNA from 1 species
GACGAACGCUGGCGGCGUGCUUAACACAUGCAAGUCGAACGAUGAAGAAGAGAAACGCGAGCUUCGGUUCAAAUUUCACUUCUGAUUAGUGGCAGACGGAUGAGUAACGCGUUAGCAACCUACCUCUUACAAAGGGAUAGCAUAGGGAAACCGUGCUUCAUACCAUUUGACACAUUCAUAAGGCAUCUUAAGAAUGUUAAAGGUACGGCGGUAAGCGAUUGGGUCGCGUCCGAUUAGCUUGUUGGUGCGGUAACGGCCCACCAAGGCGACGAUGGGUAACCGGGCGGAGGAGGUGAACGGUUAGAUUGGAACUGAGACACGGACCAAACGCCGACGCGGGGCUGCAGUAGGGAGUAUUGCACGAGGGAGGGUGCUCUAAUGCAGCGGCGUGGCGUGAGAGAGGAAGGAAUUCGUUUCGUAAAGCUCUGUUUUAUGAGAAGAAAAGGACGGUACCAUAGAAGAAAGCCCCGGCUAAAUACGUG